rnacentral:tRNA from 1 species
GGCGGUGUAAACAGUUAAGUGUUAGGCUACUAACUUAAAGGUUGGUGGUUCAAGUUCACCCAGUGUCA